CAUCUUUCUGAGCCUCUGGUGGGGAGGAGAUAGAGAAAAUCAGAAGUAAAACCAAGUCCAGAAAGAAGGAAGGGUGGGGACAGUGUGGUGCUCUGGAAUCCCUGGAGCCCAGGAGCAUGAAUGCAGGGAUACAUGGAAUAAAAGCAGCACUUUCAGAGUAAGCUUGAAGGGAGAUAAUCUGCAUCGUCAAGUCACUGAAAUUUCUGAUUCGUGACAUCUCUUAAUAAAUAAGUCCGAGACUCCAAAAUUA